rnacentral:rRNA from 1 species
UGAGGGAAUAUUGGGUCAAUGGGCGAGAGCCUGAACCAGCCAAGUCGCGUGAAGGAUGAAGGUUCUAUGGAUUGUAAACUUCUUUUGUCCGAGGGUAAAAAGGCCACGUGUAGCUUCUUGCAAGUAUCGGACGAAUAAGCAUCGGCUAACUCCGUGCCAGCAGCCGCGGUAAUACGGGGGAUGCAAGCGUUAUCCGGAUUCAUUGGGUUUAAAGGGUGCGUAGGCGGCUUGGCAAGUCAGCGGUGAAAGGCCCGGGCUCAACCCGGAAAGUGCCGUUGAUACUGUUAGGCUUGAAUGCGGAUGCUGUGGGAGGAAUGAGUGGUGUAGCGGUGAAAUGCAUAGAUAUCACUCAGAACACCGAUUGCGAAGGCAUCUCACAAAUCCGUGAUUGACGCUGAGGCACGAAAGCGU